rnacentral:rRNA from 1 species
AUAUUAUACAAUGGGGGCAACACUGCUCCAGCCAUUCCGCGUGUUUGAAGAAGGUCUUCGGUUUGUAAAGCACGUUAAGUUGGGAGGAAGGGCUGUAGGUUAAUACCCUGAACAUUUUACGUUACCAACAGAAUAAGCACCGGCUAACUCUGUGCUAGCAGCCGCGGUAAUACAGAGGGUGAAAGCGUUAAUCGGAAUUACUGGGCGUAAAGCGCGCGUAGGUGGUUCAGUAAGAUGGGUGUGAAAUCCCCGGGCUUAACCUGGGAACUGCUUUCAUAACUGCUGAGCUAGAGUACGGUAGAGGGUAGUGGAAUUUCCUGUGUAGCGGUGAAAUGCGUAGAUAUAGGAAGGAACACCAGUGGCGAAGGCGACUACCUGGACUGAUACUGACACUGAGGUGCGAAAGCGUGGGGAGCAAACA